AGAUACAAGGGCAAUCUGACUGCGACAUCUGUCAGCCUAUUGACUGCCAGAGUUGACUCGGCUGAUCUGGCUGGCUAGGUGGGUGUCCCCUUCCUUCUUCACUGCUCAUUUGCGUCUCCCUCAAAGCUGUAUGCUCUGUCAAAGAGGAUGACCACCCCCGACAGAGGAGGACCAUUUCCUCUACCAAAGGUAUAUGGGUAGCUGUGCUCCCUGUGAUAACCUCCAGACAUGUUCUCAAAGACUAAAUGGGAAAUUUUUAUCAAAAUGGUAAGCUCUGCUGGCAUAGAAAAACAUCUCUACUACCACAAAAACAAAAAUGCUAGAUUUUGAGAAAAAUGCAAUUUUUAACUAUUU
ensembl:misc_RNA 7SK 7SK RNA